rnacentral:rRNA from 1 species
UACAGAGACUGCAAGCGUUAUUCGGAUUCACUGGGCGUAAAGGGUGCGCAGGCGGCCAUGUGUGUGAGGCGUGAAAGCCCGGGGCUUAACCCCGGAAUUGCACCUCAAACUACAUGGCUAGAGCAUUGGAGAGGGUAGCAGAAUUCACGGUGUAGCAGUGAAAUGCGUAGAUAUCGUGAGGAAUACCAGAGGCGAAGGCGGCUACCUGGACAAUUGCUGACGCUCAGGCACGAAAGCGUGGGGAGCAAAAAGGG